GCCCGCCGCCCAGCCGGGCCCCGGGGCUCCGGGCCCCCCCCAGCGCCUCAGCGGGGCCGCCCCGUGCUCCCCUCCCGGCCCCGUUUCCCCCCGCUCCCAGCCCCGGUACCCCCCCGGCACGGCCCCGGGGCUCCCCCCGGCCGUGCCCGCAGCCGGCACCCGGGGUCCGGGGCUGCUCGGGGCGGGGAAUCGGUUGGGGCCCCGGGGUGGUGCCUGGCUCAGGGCAUGGCCCCGGUGCAGGCCCGUGGCCGGGCCGUGUCCUGGCCCUGCCGGGAGCCCGGCUCAGCACCGGGGCUCGGGGCUGCGGGGUGAAGGUGCCCGGACGGAGCCAGGCACCCCGAAGGCCUUUGGGGCUGGCUCGGGGUAACGGGGCAGGUCGCUGGGAUCCCGCUGUCGGCUGAGCCGUCAGGAGCUCGGUGCCUGGUGGGCAGGGAGCCGGGUUCACCUCGCCGGCAGCCCGAUUUACGGGGCUCCCUUCUGCUUCGUGCGGCCUGCGUGCUGCCUGCUCUGCUGGAAGUUGUUUUUGUGCCCCCCGUAUGUGAGCUUAAAGUCCUUAAGCCGGUUCGCAUCCAGCCCGCUCCAUUAAGGAAACUGGAUCUCUGCCGUCCUUUUGAUGAAGCAAGGUUUAUGCCUCCAAGGAAUUUUCGGGAGGGCUUCGUUCUCCACGCCGUCGGCUUUUCGCUGCUGGCACGUUCUGGUUCCUUCUGGGCGCGCAGUGCUGCAGAGCAACACGUGGCACCUCGCAGGGGAGCGCUGCUCACAGGCUGCAAACCCAGACACGCGUUCAUACGGAGUGGGGCCCUUCAGCCUGAAAGCCGGCAGCUCCUGGCACAGCCACGCCGUGUGCGGGGGGCUCGGUGGUGCUUGUUGCACUCUGGUAACACACCUUGAAGUAAACAUGCCCUUUGAGAUCGCGUGGCCACUUGCUUUUUAACUUUUGGGGCCGCUGCCCAUAGCCCGGCACAGUGAGCAGCCCCAGGCAGCAGCACGCCGCUUUUCUCCUCGUCCCCAGCAGCACAGGCUCUUAUCGUGAAGCAGGGGUGGGUGUUUGACACAUUUUCGAAAGUGAAAGGGUUCCGUUUAUUUAUUUGUUUGACACGCCAGGAUUUUAAUGAUUUAAAAAAAAAAUUGGACGUCUCUGGUCACUUUUCCCUGAAGCAGGGGGUGCCAUGUCCCAGGAGAUGCAGGGAGGCUGUGUGCUGAAUCAGAAAUGUGGCUUCAGUGCUGUCUGCUGCUCACGCUCGGCUGCUUGUGUUCCCCUGCACACACCACGGGCACAGCGAUGCACUUUGCUGAGCGUUUGUGCGUGUUCUGGGUCCUAAGAUUUCUGAGCGAGGGUUUGAGAAGAGCGGUUUUGUGUGUGGAGGAAAGUCAGCGCUGGUGACCGGGCUCUGGGGGAAAACCAGAUCAGAUUUUCUUCUGGCUUCGACUCGUUCACAGGCUGCU
rnacentral:lncRNA from 1 species